rnacentral:lncRNA from 1 species
UAUUUGCGUUGCGAUGGCAUCAUUCUUCUCGGAGCCGGAGUGAAAUUGAAGUCGCGUGUUUGCAUUAGUUUUUUGAAUUGCUGUUGGGGCUGGGGCUGCGUGAUCGUCACUGGCGUCCUCCAGAGUGCCCACCGAUCGGAAAGUCGUACGAACCGCAAGCUUUGAACGUCUGUUUAUCGCAACAUCGAAAGCGGCGGCACAGAAGACGCGAUGUGAGCUCCGGUGGGAACAGCAGCCCUUUGUCUCGUAACGGAUGUUGCUAUCUCUACAAUAGCCGGAGAAGACGAUACAAGUUUUGCAAUGCACACGGACUGGCUCAGUUGUGAAUGUCACAAAUGCUCCCCUAACGAGGAUUAAAUCAAUGAAAGGAUGGCCUUGAUAAAUAAUAUUCAUGAGGCGAAGAGGAAGUACCCAUACAUGAUGAGCUUUGAGAGGUGACUUUGCAAGACUGACUAAGAUUGACCCAUCACCUUGUAUUGCAAAAGGGAUCAACAAAAUUGUGAAAAUGGCAGAAAUGAAACACAUCCCUUGCGAAGCAAGUGUAAUGGCAUCACUUCAAAAGGCUCGUGAGAUGUCACCGGAGAGGCUGCGAACACGACGACCCGAGCGUUCCUGCAACCUCUUGCAUCGUAUUUUCUGGAGAAGACGUUGAAGAGGCUGACCUCCACAUCAAGGUGGACCGCGAGAUGUUUGCAGUGAAAAAUGGGGAGGAGGGGCUGGCGGCUGUUUUAUCUGCUUACUGGCUCUUCAAUAUCCAGUACGACCGCAAGCUGUUCAACACUCUUCUCGUGUUGGAGCGCCUUUUCCUUGGGCUCACAUUGAGUACCCCUAGAGUAGUGGCUACAAAGUUCUUGAACAAUGUUGCCAAAUGUGUGCCAUGUUUAAUGUGCUGAAGCUGUGCACUGUUACCUCAUCAUGAGUUUAGCUGUAAUUUUCAGAUGCAAGUUUUGUUUUGUCUAACCAUUUCUGCAAUACAUAUGAAGGAAGCCAACAGUCACCGAUAACAAGGCAAGCUUAUGGCAACGCUAUUCGUUUUUUUUUAUUUGCAGUGUUAGUAGUUGGAAAUUAUUAGUGUAAUUAUUUUCAGAUGUGGUUAGUUAGGAUCCCACUGGCAGCAUGUGGUUUUCUGCUUUCUGAUCAUUUACCUGUCAGCCAUAAAAUGAUUACACUAACAAUUUUCUAUUGUCAGCACCACAAAUUGUUAAAACUUAGAAGCAUUCUCCAUGUGGGGCGUUCCUUGGUCUCGGUCACUGUUGGCAUUUUUCAUAUGCAUUACAGAAAGGGUUAAACUAUUCAACACUUUCUUAUCUAAAUGUUACAGGUAAACUGUCUUUUGUAUUACAUCAUUAGCUCUUUUUAACUUUCAAUAACUAAGCAAGAUUCUAGUCGUAAAAAAAAUAAAAGCUCUAGAAGGUUGAUACGUACUUCUCGCUUAUUACGUAGUUACGAAAGCUGAUCUCAUAUACUGUUGUGGUAGGUCAGCGGAGUAUACACGAUGCUGCGGAUCAUUUCCCAUAUGCAAAGUUAGCAACUGUUCUUUUUGAAGUUGAAUGCUGUAUUAAAAUAGGUCAGGUGAUAUGUAUUUGUGUUGCGUUAUUUUACUGACGUUCUUAAUAAAUUUACUUUGAUACCAAAACUAUUCCGCAAUCUUAUGUGUACAAAAACCCACCUGUGCCACGCAUUUCUCAAAUGAGCAAGAGAUGACCAGGUGCUGUAUAGUGUAUAUUCUCUGCCUUUGUUGCAAGGGAAAUAUGACUGUUACAGUUCAACAAUCGUAUAUUUCCUUGGAAACGAAUGGUCCCUAUGCAUUGUUUUCCUGAAUCAAUUUUUUGUUUGCAUGGCAUGCAUGUCUGGAUGGAGACCAAGCGUCCAUCUCCUGGGCAUGCAUGUGUGCAGGUACGCAGGAGCCUUGGAUUGAUGCUGUGCAUUUUGGUCCACAAAUAGGUAUAGCUAUACA